rnacentral:misc_RNA from 1 species
UUUCCGUAGGUGAACCUGCGGAAGGAUCAUUAUCAAAAGUCAAGUCGGGGGCUGUAAAGCUCUCGUCUACACCCAUGUCUUUUGCGUACUCUUGUUUCCUCGGUGGCGCAAGCUGCCGAUUGGACAAACCAAAACCUUUUUUGUAAUUGCAAUCAGCGUCAGUAACAAAUUAAUAAUUACAACUUUCAACAACGGAUCUCUUGGUUCUG